rnacentral:rRNA from 1 species
AUGGAUGAACCAUGGAUAGUUUUCAGUGACUUUAAUGAAAUUCUAUUCACGCACAAAAAGGAAGGAGGAGCACUCAGAGAGCAAAGAUGUAUGCAAGCAUUCAGGGAUGUUCUGUCCGAGUGGGAGUUGGAAGAUCUGGGUGCCACGGGGGAUGCCUACACAUGGAGUAGAGGGAGUAUCAAGGAAAGCUUGGAUAGAGCUAUAUGCAACUCACGGUGGAAUUUGUUAUUUCCUAAUGUGGGUGUCAUAAAUGGAGAAAUGAAAAAAAUCUGA